AAAUUGCCCUGAUGUGGGGGAUAACCAUUGGAAACGAUGGCUAAUACCGCAUGAUGCCUACGGGCCAAAGAGGGGGACCUUCGGGCCUCUCGCGUCAGGAUAUGCCUAGGUGGGAUUAGCUAGUUGGUGAGGUAAGGGCUCACCAAGGCGACGAUCCCUAGCUGGUCUGAGAGGAUGAUCAGCCACACUGGAACUGAGACACGGUCCAGACUCCUACGGGAGGCAGCAGUGGGGAAUAUUGCACAAUGGGCGCAAGCCUGAUGCAGCCAUGCCGCGUGUGUGAAGAAGGCCUUCGGGUUGUAAAGCACUUUCAGUCGUGAGGAAGGUAGUGUCGUUAAUAGCUGCUUUAUUUGACGUUAGCGACAGAAGAAGCACCGGCUAACUCCGUGCCAGCAGCCGCGGUAAUACGGAGGGUGCGAGCGUUAAUCGGAAUUACUGGGCGUAAAGCGCAUGCAGGUGGUUUGUUAAGUCAGAUGUGAAAGCCCGGGGCUCAACCUCGGAAUAGCAUUUGAAACUGGCAGACUAGAGUACUGUAGAGGGGGGUAGAAUUUCAGGUGUAGCGGUGAAAUGCGUAGAGAUCUGAAGGAAUACCGGUGGCG
rnacentral:rRNA from 1 species